UGACAUGUUUGCAGUGUGACUGGUUAAAUGCCGAUGGAGUGUGUGUGAAAGGAGAAAGCACCUGUGAGGCUAAAGAUGACCAGGAAUGUGGCAUACUGGUAGUGUCUAAAGGUUAUAACAUCUGGUUUGGGCAGCAGGAUUGUUCUUCCAGAUGUUUCAAUAAGACUUUCACCCAUUAUAAUAUAACACUGGAUUUUACAUGUUGCCAUGACCAAUCUCUGUGUAAUGAAUUUUAGAGGCUGGGCCCUUCCUUGCUCAGUCCUGCUGCAGUGCUGUUCAUUGAAUCCCAGCUCUGGAGCAUGAGAGGAAGCAUUCUACUACUGACCUUGUCUUGAACCCUAUAUCUUGGUCUUUCCAUCAUAUGCCUUAG